rnacentral:rRNA from 1 species
UACGUAGGCAGCAAGCGUUGUUCGGAGUUACUGGGCGUAAAGGGUGCGUAGGCGGUUAUUUAAGUUUGGCGUGAAAUCUCCCGGCUCAACCGGGAGGGUGCGUUAAAUACUGAGUGACUAGAGUGCGGGAGAGGAAAGUGGAAUUCCUGGUGUAGCGGUGAAAUGCGUAGAUAUCAGGAGGAACACCGGUGGUGUAAACGGCUUUCUGGACCGUAACUGACGCUGAUGCACGAAAGCGUGGGUAGCAAACAGG